UACGGAGGGGGCAAGCGUUGUUCGGAUUUACUGGGCGUAAAGGGCGCGUAGGCGGCUGAUCAAGUCAGGUGUGAAAGCCCACGGCUUAACCGUGUGAAGUGCAUCUGAAACUGGUCGGCUUGAGUAUCGGAGAGGAAAGUGGAAUUCCCGGUGUAGAGGUGAAAUUCGUAGAUAUCGGGAGGAAUACCGGUGGCGAAGGCGACUUUCUGGACGAAUACUGACGCUGAGGCGCGAAAGUGUGGGUAGCAAACAGGAUUAGAUACCCUGGUAGU
rnacentral:rRNA from 1 species